UCCGGCUUAACACCGGCGGUUCCCUUAGAGUUCCCAGCAUUACCUGUUGGCAACUAAGGGCGAGGGUUGCGCUCGUUGCGGGACUUAACCCAACAUCUCACGACACGAGCUGACGACAGCCAUGCAGCAUCUGUGUGUUAGCCACCCGAGGUGAAGGAAGGCAUCUCUGCCGACCACACUAACCAUGUCAAGGGCUGGUAAGGUUCUUCGCGUUGCCUCGAAUUAAACCACAUGCUCCACCGCUUGUGCGGGUCCCCGUCAAUUCCUUUGAGUUUUAAUCUUGCGACCGUACUCCCCAGGCGGAGUGCUUAACGCGUUAGCUACGGCACCGAGGGGUAAACCCCCCGACAUCUAGCACUCAUAGUUUACGGCGUGGACUAC
rnacentral:misc_RNA from 1 species